GAAAUGAAUCUCAGUUCUCUCUUGACCCACCUCCCAGGAUAUCUACCCCUAACCCUCAUGAGUGCAUCAAGGGUAACUUAAAGGAGUUACAGCUCCUUUAAAAAAGGAUACAACCUCUAUUAGUGGAUAACUACCUAACCUCCUCCUCAAACUGUAGGCCUUCAAGCAGCCAUCAAUAAAGAGUGCGUCAAAGCUCCACACAUAAAAAUUCAAUAACAACAUGACUCCCUUCCCACUAACAGGCUAAUCUAUACCGAUAGAAGUAUUAAUGCUAAAAUGAGUAACUGGGGCCCCCCCCCCUCCAAGCGCAGACUUACACACUCACUUUAUUAACAGAUACUAAACCAAUAUCUCAAUUACAACAAGAUUUAGAUAUUAAACCCACCCUGUUACCCCGACUAAGGAGCGCCUACUAGGAAGAUUAAAAUCUGUAAAAGGAACUAGGCAAACCCAAGGCCCGACUGUUUACCAAAAACAUAGCCUUCAGCCCACCAAGUAUUGAAGGUGAUGCCUGCCCAGUGACAUGAUGUUUAACGGCCGCGGUAUCCUAACCGUGCGAAGGUAGCGCAAUCAAUUGUCCCAUAAAUCGAGACUUGUAUGAAUGGCUAAACGAGGUCUUAACUGUCUCUUACAGAUAAUCAGUGAAAUUGAUCUUCCUGUGAAAAAGCAGGAAUCCCAACAUAAGACGAGAAGACCCUGUGGAACUUAAAAAUCAACGGCCACUGUAUACAAAUUUAAACCUACCAGGCCCAUCACCCCUAAACACUGGCCCGUAUUUUUCGGUUGGGGCGACCUUGGAGAAAAACAAAUCCUCCAAAAAUAGGACCACAUCUCCUAACCAAGAUCUACCCCUCAACGUACUAAUAGUAACCAGACCCAAUACAAUUGAUCAAUGGACCAAGCUACCCCAGGGAUAACAGCGCAAUCUCCUCUAAGAGCUCACAUCGACGAGGAGGUUUACGACCUCGAUGUUGGAUCAGGACAUCCUAAUGGUGCAGCCUCUA
rnacentral:rRNA from 1 species